AGGGCGCGCAGGCGGCGCGGGUGCGCGGUGCGGGGCUGGUAUCCGGAGGACGCGGUCACCGCCUCUGGCAUUUGUCGUUCUGCGCUUCUCCGCAAGGACCCUCUGCUAGGCGGGCGCCCACCGUAAGCCUCCCGGGCCUUGUGAACCUGCAAACCCAAGUCUGAGAGACGAUCCGCCUUCAGCGCUUUCCGGCUUGGCAGAGAGGCUUUCCCGGCGGGGAUCUUUGGUUCGCGCUGGCGAUGCGCGGGGAAGAAAGGCGAGGAGCGGCGUCCAGGCUGGGUGAUGUCCCAGCACGAGUAGGCGGGAUGCGCUCGCAUGGUCCGCGGGGCGCCCGGUCCCCGCCCGCGUCGCGCGCCCACCCCUGGGGACGAGAAUGCGGCCGCCUGGGGACCCCCACCCGCGACCUCCGCGAGUCUGGAGCGCAGAGGACAGGGUCAGGCGGCUCUUUGGCCUUGGAUGGAAAGUGGGGAAUUGGGUGGGGGGCUGGGGACCCCUUAACGUGGAUUACUUGGUGUGUAUCAGCUGGGCUCCGAAGACCCACGACCUCUUCUCCAUCCGUGGAUUGAUUUGUUCUGCUUAACAGCUGGGUCGCCAAGCUGGAGGUAUUUUUCCCUCUCCAGCCUGGUCUUCUCCUGUAGCGCGUGGCCGCCUUUUCCAGCACGGCCUCCUGCCUUCCUGGUGCACUUUUUGGAGAACGUGGUGGAAUCAGAGGUUUCUGGCUGACUCGGUGGGUGCUUUGAACCAGGAAAGGACAAGAAAGAGGUUGGAGUGCAGUGGCAUGAUCUCAGCUCACUGCAGCCUCGACUUCCUGGGCUCAAAAAAUCCUCCUGUCUCUGCCUUCCGAGUAGCUGUGAUCACAGUUGUAUGCCAUCAUGCCCAGACCGGACUUCACCAUAUUGCCCAGGAUGGUCUUGAACUCCUGGGCUCAAGUGAUCUGCCUGCCUUGGCCUCACAGAACGCCAGGAUUACAGAUGUAAGCCACUGUGCCUGGCCUGAAGUCUAGUAAUUUUUUAAACUUUGCAUGUGAUUCUGCUCAUGAGCCAAGUUCGGGUGCCUGUGGAACAGCUAUAUUCCUCAAACUAGAUAUGCACACCAGUCCCUGGGGAUUCUGUCAAAAGGCAGAUUCACAUUCAGCAGGUCUAGGGUGGGGGGCCUGACAUUCUGCACGUCUCACAAGCUCCCAGGUGAUGCUGAUGGUGCUGGUCCCUGGACGCCCCCUUGAGUAGUAAGGAACAAAAGGACUCUCCCCUGUUCUUUUCAGCUACGUAGCCCAGGGGUUCUCCACUUAGGCUUCACACUGGAAUCAUCUAGGGAGUUUUAAACUAUAGUGAUGCCUGGCGGUGUCUUACUCGCAGAGCUUCUGGUUUGAUUGGUCUAGGUUGCAGCCUGGACAAUGAGAUUUAAAAACUUCUCAGAUGGGCCAGGCAUGGUGGCUCAAGCCUGUAAUCCCAGCACUUUGGGAGGCAGAGGCGGGCGGAUCACGAGGUCAGGAGAUCGAGACCAUCCUGGCUAGCACGGUGAAACCCCGUCUCUACUAAAAAUCCAAAAAAUUAGCCGGGCGUGGUGGCAGGCGCCUGUGGUCCCAGCUGCUCGGGAGGCUGAGGCAGAAGAAUGGCCUGAACCCGGGAGGCGGAGCUUGCAGACAGCCGAGAUCGCACCACUGCACUCCAGCCUGGGCGACAGAGCGAGACUCCAUCUCAAAAAAAAAAAAAAAAAAAAAA
rnacentral:lncRNA from 1 species